GAUGAACGCUGGCGGCGUGCCUAAUACAUGCAAGUCGAGCGAACAGACGAGGAGCUUGCUCCUCUGACGUUAUCGGCGGACGGGUGAGUAACACGUGGAUCACCUACCUAUAAGACUGGGAUAACUUCGGGAAACCGGAGCUAAUACCGGAUAAUAUAUUGAACCGCAUGGUUCAAUAGUGAAAGACGGUUUUGCUGUCACUUAUAGAUGGAUCCGCGCCGCAUUAGCUAGUUGGUAAGGUAACGGCUUACCAAGGCAACGAUGCGUAGCCGACCUGAGAGGGUGAUCGGCCACACUGGAACUGAGACACGGUCCAGACUCCUACGGGAGGCAGCAGUAGGGAAUCUUACGCAAUGGGCGAAAGCCUGACGGAGCAACGCCGCGUGAGUGAUGAAGGUCUUCGGAUCGUAAAACUCUGUUAUUAGGGAAGAACAAAUGUGUAAGUAACUAUGCACGUCUUGACGGUACCUAAUCAGAAAGCCACGGCUAACUACGUG
rnacentral:rRNA from 1 species